GACGAACCGUGCGAACGUUGUUCGGAAUCACUGGGCUUAAAGGGCGCGUAGGCGGGCUGUCAAGUCUGGGGUGAAAUCCCGCGGCUCAACCGUGGAACUGCCUCAGAUACUGACGGCCUCGAGGGAGGUAGGGGCGAGCGGAACUGUGAGUGGAGCGGUGAAAUGCGUUGAUAUUCACAGGAACUCCGGUGGCGAAGGCGGCUCGCUGGACCUCUUCUGACGCUGAGGAGCGAAAGCCAGGGGAGCAAACGGG
rnacentral:rRNA from 1 species